AUUACAUGCCCUAUAGUGGGGAAUAGCCCAGGGAAACUUGGAUUAAUACCCCAUGGUCUCGCAAGAGUAAAGGUGGCCAGCAAUGGCUGUCGCUAUAGGAUUGGUUCGCGCCCUAUCAGCUUGUUGGUGAGGUAACGGCUCACCAAGGCGACGACGGGUACCUGGUCUGAGAGGACGAUCAGGCACACUGGAACUGAGACACGGUCCAGACACCUACGGGUGGCAGCAGUCGAGAAUAAUUCACAAUGGGGCCAACCCUGAUGGUGCAACGCCGCGUGGAGGAUGACGUUCUUCGGAUUGUAAACUCCUGUCAUCCGGGAGUAAGACCUGGCUGUGAAUAGCAGACAGGGUUGAUAGUACCGGAAGAGGAAGGGACGGCUAACUUCGUGCCAGCAGCCGCGGUAAUACGAAGGUCCCGAGCGUUGUUCGGAAUCACUGGGCGUAAAGGGAGCGUAGGCGGCGUGGUAAGUCAGAUGUGAAAUCCCGGGGCUCAACCCCGGAACUGCAUCCGAUACUGCCGUGCUAGAGGAUUGGAGAGGUAGCUGGAAUUCUUGGUGUAGCAGUGAAAUGCGUGGAGAUCAAGAGGACACUCGUGGCGAAAGCGAGCUACUGGACAAUAUCUGACGCUGAAGCUCGAAGGCCANGGUAGCG
rnacentral:rRNA from 1 species